GAUGAACGCUGGCGGCGUGCCUAAUACAUGCAAGUCGAGCGAACAGACGAGGAGCUUGCUCCUCUGACGUUAGCGGCGGACGGGUGAGUAACACGUGGAUAACCUACCUAUAAGACUGGGAUAACUUCGGGAAACUGGAGCUAAUACCGGAUAAUAUAUUGAACCGCAUGGUUCAAUAGUGAAAGACGGUUUUGCUGUCACUUAUAGAUGGAUCCGCGCCGCAUUAGCUAGUUGGUAAGGUAACGGCUUACCAAGGCAACGAUGCGUAGCCGACCUGAGAGGGUGAUCGGCCACACUGGAACUGAGACACGGUCCAGACUCCUACGGGAGGCAGCAGUAGGGAAUCUUCCGCAAUGGGCGAAAGCCUGACGGAGCAACGCCGCGUGAGUGAUGAAGGUCUUCGGAUCGUAAAACUCUGUUAUUAGGGAAGAACAAAUGUGUAAGUAACUAUGCACGUCUUGACGGUACCUAAUCAGAAAGCCACGGCUAACUACGU
rnacentral:rRNA from 1 species